AUUGAACGCUGGCGGCAUGCCUUACACAUGCAAGUCGAACGGUAACAGGUUAAGCUGACGAGUGGCGAACGGGUGAGUAAUGUAUCGGAACGUGCCCAGUCGCGGGGGAUAACUACUCGAAAGAGUGGCUAAUACCGCAUACGACCUGAGGGUGAAAGCGGGGGACCGUAAGGCCUCGCGCGAUUGGAGCGGCCGAUAUCAGAUUAGCUAGUUGGUGGGGUAAAAGCCCACCAAGGCGACGAUCUGUAGCUGGUCUGAGAGGACGACCAGCCACACUGGGACCGAGACACGGCCCAGACUCCUACGGGAGGCAGCAGUGGGGAAUUUUGGACAAUGGACGCAAGUCUGAUCCAGCCAUGCCGCGUGCGGGAAGAAGGCCUUCGGGUUGUAAACCGCUUUUGUCAGGGAAGAAACGAGUUUCUCUAAUACAGAGACUUAAUGACGGUACCUGAAGAAUAAGCACCGGCUAACUACGUGCCAGCCGCCGCGGUAAGAC
rnacentral:rRNA from 1 species